AUUGAACGCUGGCGGCAGGCCUAACACAUGCAAGUCGAGCGAGCGGCGGACGGGUGAGUAAUGUAUGGGGAUCUGCCUGAUGGCGGGGGAUAACUACUGGAAACGGUAGCUAAUACCGCAUACCAUCAGAUGAACCCAUAUGGGAUUAGCUUGUAGGUGAGGUAACGGCUAACCUAGGCGACGAUCCCUAGCUGGUCUGAGAGGAUGAUCAGCCACACUGGGACUGAGACACGGCCCCGACUCCUACGGGAGGCAGCAGUGGGGAAUAGUGCACAAUGGGCGCAAACCUGAUGCAGCCAUGCCGCGUGUAUGAAGAAAGCCUUCGGGUUGUAAAGUACUUUCAGUCGGGAGGCGUACCCGACAGAAAAAGCACCGGCUAACUCCGUGCCAGCAGCCGCGGUAAUAC
rnacentral:rRNA from 1 species